CGCAGAGCGGCCCCGGCCCCGAGCCGCUGCUCCCGGUGCUGCCCUGGAGAGCCCGCGGCGGCCCCGGAGCCGCCUUCACCGCCCUGCUGCAACUGCUGCGGGAGGAGGACGCCGGUCCCCCGGCGCUGGCGUCUCCCCAGAAGCGGGACAUGCACGACUUCUUCGUGGGGCUCAUGGGGAAGCGGACGGUGGAGCCCGGUAGGGCGGCGGGGGAAGACCGGGGGGCGGCGGAGCCGCAGCGGAGGGGCUGACCGCAGCCCCCCUGCUCCCCAGGGCCCCCCCCGGACGCCCCUAGGGCCGCCGGGUCCCAGCGCUGGGCAGCGUGAGGAGGGACCGGAGGGGCGGCGGCGCCGGGACCCCCCCGCCGGGCUCCGUUCCGGGCAUCGCGGGGGGGCUCCGGGGGCCGUGUCCCGGCGCCUCGGAGCGGGCGGCGGCUGCGGGGCCACCAGGGCCCGGAGGCGAGCAGCGACUGCGGAGCCGUCGUGGGAGCCCGUCGGGGCCGGGGCCGAGACCGGGACCGGGAGCGGGGACGGGACCGGGACGGGACCGGGGAUGGGGACAGGAGCGGGGCCGCGCUGCCGUCCGCGCUGUACGGGCACCUGCACACAAACAAGCGGCCCCUCGCCCUGGCUCUCUCUGUGCCUCCGCUGCGCCUCGACGGGACCCGACGGGCUCGGGGCG